rnacentral:rRNA from 1 species
GACGAACGCUGGCGGCGUGCUUAACACAUGCAAGUCGAACGGAAAGGCCCUGCUUUUGUGGGGUGCUCGAGUGGCGAACGGGUGAGUAACACGUGAGUAACCUGCCCUUGACUUUGGGAUAACUUCAGGAAACUGGGGCUAAUACCGGAUAGGAGCUCCUGCUGCAUGGUGGGGGUUGGAAAGUUUCGGCGGUUGGGGAUGGACUCGCGGCUUAUCAGCUUGUUGGUGGGGUAGUGGCUUACCAAGGCUUUGACGGGUAGCCGGCCUGAGAGGGUGACCGGCCACAUUGGGACUGAGGUACGGCCAAGACUCCUACGGGAGGCAGCAGUGGGGAAUAUGGCACAAUGGGCGGAAGCCUGAUGCAGCAACGCCGCGUGCGGUAUGACGGCCUUCGGGUUGUAAACCGCUUUCGCCUGUGACGAAGCGUGAGUGACGGUAAUGGGUAAAGAAGCACCGGCUAACUACGUG